ACGCUCGACACCUACGGGAGACAGCAGUGAGGAAUAUUGGUCAAUGGGCGCUAGCCUGAACCAGCCAAGUAGCGUGAAGGAUGAAGGCUCUAUGGGUCGUAAACUUCUUUUAUAUAAGAAUAAAGUGCAGUAUGUAUACUGUUUUGUAUGUAUUAUAUGAAUAAGGAUCGGCUAACUCCGUACACGCAGCCGGCCGGUAAGUACUGAGCGGGCGUGGCAAGGC
rnacentral:rRNA from 1 species